GAGUUUGAUCUUGGCUCAGAACGAACGCUGGCGGCGUGGAUAAGACAUGCAAGUCGAGCGGGGCAUGAUUUGUAGCAAUACAAAUGAUGUUCAGCGGCGCAAGGGUGCGUAACACGUGGGCAAUCUGCCGAGAAGUGGGGGAUAGCUCGCCGAAAGGCGAAUUAAUACCGCAUGUGGUUAAGGACGACAUCGUUCUGACACCAAAGCCGGGGUAACCUGGCGCUUCUUGAUGAGCCCGCGGCCUAUCAGCUAGUUGGUGAGGUAACGGCUCACCAAGGCUAUGACGGGUAGCUGGUCUGAGAGGACGACCAGCCACACUGGAACUGAGACACGGUCCAGACACCUACGGGUGGCAGCAGUCGAGAAUUUUUUCUCAAUGGGGGAAACCCUGAAGGAGCGACGCCGCGUGGAGGAUGAAGGUCUUCGGAUUGUAAACUCCUGUCAUUUGGGAACAAUGAUUAGUCAUUAACUGUGA
rnacentral:rRNA from 1 species